CCGACUUGGGCCCUGCUGGGGCCCGGAGAUGGAGAGACAGCAUUAACGUGGAUUGCAUUUAGUGUUUGUCAGAUACAGUAAGCUGGCCUUGGUUGAAAAGAUGCAGAGAACUUUCAUCAAACAAGACAUAAACGGAGCCUGUUAGACAGGAGGUCAGAGCAGUCAUCACCAGAGAAGAGCGAGCGAGAGAGAAACAGCAUGAGAGGGGAGAGGGUCAGAGGGAGAAGCAGGCUCCCCACUGAGCCGGGAGCCCGACGUGGGACUCGAUCCCAGGACUCUGGGAUUAUGACCUGAGCCGAAGGCAGUCGCUUAACCAACUGAGCCACCCAGGCGCCCAACAAUUAUGAUUUUAACUUCUUGUUUGCAUUAUAAAUAAGUAAAAGGAAAUGUAGUAGCAAGGAGUACUUGGAAUUCCUCUGAUAAAUCUCCAAAUUUCUUCCCCUCAUUCCAUCUGUGUGCUUGGAGACUCAGAGUUGGCCCAUGGUCUCUCAAGUCACCACAAUGGCAUCAAGGCUGAUUUAAAGAUCAAGGCAUAAAGAACAGGAUGCAUGUCAAGAUAUGCAAAAUGUUUGGAAAUCACUUAAAAAAUAGCUAUUGAGCAAUGGAGCUAGAAUUAUGAUUGUUGACGCCAAAAAAAUCAUUUUUUUUUGCUUUCUCUUUUCUCUGCCAUUGUGUUCAGUAGACCAGAAUAUUGAACAGACUUUUUGUAAGACAAAUUCUGAUUUAUUGUGUAUUUAGUAUAUGUCCUGACACGUUACUGACUCUCUUUCUCAUUUUUUGGGGAUCAGAUUCUCCCGAGUAUUGUCUCAGUUAUUGAUCUCUUGAAAGAACAAACUUUUCUCUCCCAUUGAUCAUUUCUACUAUUUUCAUUAUUAUUAUUUUAUUUCAUUAAUGUCUGUUUUUAUCUUAAUUAAUCUCUCUUCUUUCUUUGGAUAUUAUUCUUUUAUUAGCUUUCAUGGAUUGGAAGUUUAUUUCUUUUCUGUGGGUUUUGUCUAGAUCUCAAAUGCAUAAAAGUAGAUUAAGCAUAGUUUUGGCUCAUGACUUACCAUCAGCUCACAUUUGUUUGAUUUUUUAUUUAAUAUAAAAAAGCUCUUAUAAAAAUACUAUCCCAAAUAAGAGGUAGGACCUGGACUCUCUUCAUCUAACCUUGUGGCCUUUCUAUCCUAUCUCCCUUUCUCCCUGCACUUUAGGUAACCAUCAUCCUGAAUCCUAUGUGUUUCUUUCUUUUUCAUAUAGCUUUAUUACAUCUCCAUGUACACCUAAAGUUAUAUGUCUUUAUUUUAGUCAUCUUAUAUUUUAUGAGAAGAGUCUCAUGUGUAAUUUUGUUUGGAACUCCCCCACGCCCCAUUUUAAUAUAGAAAUGUGCAUUUCUACAAUUGUCUGGAUGCAGAAUUUUAUAUAUGUCAAUCAGAUCAUGUUUAUUAGUACUGAUAAGGAAAAUCUGUGUCCUAAGAUGGCCCACCGAGCCAGUGAGAGAGUCCCAGUCCUUGCCCCGCGGCUCCUCCGGGUUGUUCUCCCUGCCCCGCUUUGCGCACACGCCCAAAGUGCCAAGUAUGCGGAAGAAGAAGUGUAUAAAUUGCCCCUUUGUUUGUGAUCGGGGCUCAGACCUUUGGAGAUCACUCUCCUCUGACCUCGCUGGAGUUAAAUAAAACCUCUUA